rnacentral:rRNA from 1 species
CAAUAAAACAUACCCGUUAAUGGAUAACUGUAGUAAUUCUAGAGCUAAUACAUGCCUCGAUGCCGUGACCCGCAAGGGAAUCGGUGCACUUAUCAGUACAAGACCUCCCGGGCGUCCUAGAUGCCCGCGAACGUCGUGUUGACUCUGGAUAAUUUCUACAGAUCGCAGUCGGCCUUGUGUCGGCGACAGUUCUUUCAAAUGUCUGCCCUAUCAACUUACGAUGGUAGGCAACCUGCCUACCAUGGUGAUAACGGGUAACGGGGAAUCAGGGUUCGAUUCCGGAGAGGGAGCCUGAGAAACGGCUACCACAUCCAAGGAAGGCAGCAGGCGCGCAAAUUACCCACUCCCGGCACGGGGAGGUAGUGACGAAAAAUAACGAUGCGGGGCUCAUUGAGGAUCCGUAAUCGGAAUGAGUACAGUCUAAAGCCUUUAACGAGGACCAAUUGGAGGGCAAGUCUGGUGCCAGCAGCCGCGGUAACUCCAGCUCCAAUAGCGUAUAUUAAAGUUGCUGCAGUUAAAAAGCUCGUAGUUGGAUCUUGACGGCACUGCCGCUGGUCUUUGGUGUCUGUGCCCCGUCUGCUGAUUCGUCAGCUUCGGAGUACUUCGCUAUUGGCCUGUUGGUGGUGCAGUCUUUCAGCCGUGUCUAUGUCCUUUCGGGGUGUAGGUGCUGGUUGCCGGUUGGGCUACGUCCCGAACUGGUGGUCGGUACGCACUACGAUCCGCCUUUAUUGCGUGUCAAUGUGCG